GACGAACGCUGGCGGCGUGCCUAAUACAUGCAAGUUGAGCGAUGAAGCUUGGUGCUUGCACCAAUUUGAAGAGCAGCGAACGGGUGAGUAACGCGUGGGGAAUCUGCCUUUGAGCGGGGGACAACAUUUGGAAACGAAUGCUAAUACCGCAUAACAACUUUAAACAUAAGUUUUAAGUUUGAAAGAUGCAAUUGCAUCACUCAAAGAUGAUCCCGCGUUGUAUUAGCUAGUUGGUGAGGUAAAGGCUCACCAAGGCGAUGAUACAUAGCCGACCUGAGAGGGUGAUCGGCCACAAUGGGACUGAGACACGGCCCAAACUCCUACGGGAGGCAGCAGUAGGGAAUCUUCGGCAAUGGACGAAAGUCUGACCGAGCAACGCCGCGUGAGUGAAGAAGGGUUUCGGAUCGUAAAACUCUGUUGGUAGAGAAGAACGUUGGUGAGAGUGGAAAGCGCAUCAAGUGACGGUAACUACCCAGAAAGGGACGGCUAACUACGUG
rnacentral:rRNA from 1 species